GACGAACGCUGGCGGCGUGCCUAAUACAUGCAAGUAGGACGCAGUUGCGAACGGGUGAGUAACGCGUAGGUAACUACCUAUUAGAGGGGGAUAACUAUUGGAAACGAUAGCUAAUACCGCAUACUAGUAGUUGGACCUGCGUUGUAUUCGCUAGUAGGUAGGGGAAUGGCCUACUUAGGAAACGAUACAUAGCCGGCCGGAGAGGGUGGUCGGCCACACUGGGACUGGGAAACGGCCCAGACUCCUACGGGAGGCAGCAGUAGGGAAACUUCGGCAAUGGGGGGAACGCUGGCCGAGCAACGGCGCGUGAGGGAAGAAGGUUUGCGGGUCGUAAAGCUCUGUUGUUAAGGAAGCGGUACUUAACCAGAAAGGGACGGCUAACUACGUGCCAGCAGCCGCGGUAAUAC
rnacentral:rRNA from 1 species